rnacentral:rRNA from 1 species
UACAGAGGUCCCGAGCGUUGUUCGGAUUCACUGGGCGUAAAGGGUGCGUAGGUGGCGAGGAAAGUCGGAUGUGAAAGCUCGGAGCUCAACUCCGAAAUGGCAUUGGAAACUACCUUGCUCGAGGGUUGGAGGGGGGGACUGAAUUCUCGGUGUAGCAGUGAAAUGCGUAGAUAUCGAGAGGAACACCAGUGGCGAAGGCGAGUCCCUGGACAACUCCUGACACUGAGGCACGAAAGCUAGGGGAGCAAACAGG